rnacentral:rRNA from 1 species
UUGGCUUAGAAGCAGCCAUCCUUGAAAGAGUGCGUAAUAGCUCACUGGUCAAGUGAUUCUGCGCCGAUAAUGUAGCGGGGCUCAAGUACACCGCCGAAGUUGUGGCAAUGACCCUUUGGGGUUGUUGGGUAGGGGAGCGUCGUGUGGCCGUUGAAGCUGCGGUGUAAACCAGUGGUGGAGGCUAUGCGAGUGAGAAUGCAGGCAUGAGUAGCGAAAGAUGAGUGAGAAACUCAUCCGCCGGAUGAUCAAGGGUUCCAGGGUCAAGUUAAUCUGCCCUGGGUUAGUCGGGGCCUAAGGCGAGGCCGACAGGCGUAGUCGAUGGAUAACGGGUUGAUAUUCCCGUACCGGUGAAGAACCGCCCAUACUGAUAUUGUGAUGCUAACCAUGCGAAGCAUGAUGUGCAGGCUUUUGUUUGUGUGUUGUGUGGGUUGUGGGACCCGAUCUUUGGAGGUAAACGUGUUAACAGGUGUGACGCAGGAAGGUAGCCAAGCCACGCGAUGGUUGUCGUGGUCUAAGCGUGUAGGGUUGUCGGUUGUUAAAUGCGCCGGCUGUGUGCCUGAGACGUGAUGGGACCCCGUUUUUGGGGGAUUUGGUGAUCCUAUGCUGCCGAGAAAAGCAUCGGCGUGAGGUUUUAGCCGCCCGUACCCUAAACCGACACAGGUGAUCAGGUAGAGAAUACUAAGGCGAUCGAGAGAAUCAUGGUUAAGGAACUCGGCAAAAUGCCCCCGUAACUUCGGGAGAAGGGGGGCCCUGAGCGUGAUCUGCCCGUGCGGUGGGGAGCGUGUAGGGGUCGCAGAGACCAGGGGGAAGCGACUGUUUAUCAAAAACACAGGUCCGUGCGAAGUCGUAAGACGAUGUAUACGGACUGACUCCUGCCCGGUGCUGGAAGGUUAAGAGGAUUGGUUAGCUCUUUUGGGCGAAGCUGAGAAUUUAAGCCCCAGUAAACGGCGGUGGUAACUAUAACCAUCCUAAGGUAGCGAAAUUCCUUGUCGGGUAAGUUCCGACCUGCACGAAUGGCGUAACGACUUCUCCGCUGUCUCGACCGUGAACUCGGCGAAAUUGCAGUACGAGUAAAGAUGCUCGUUUCGCGCAGAAGGACGGAAAGACCCCGGGACCUUUACUAUAGCUUGGUAUUGGUGUUCGCUUGGACUUGUGUAGGAUAGGUGGGAGACUGUGAAGCUGCCGCGCCAGCGGUGGUGGAGUCGUCGUUGAAAUACCAUUCUGGUUCAAGCGGUCACCUCAACCUUGGCCCGUGAUCCGGGUUGGGGACAGUGCCUGGUGGGUAGUUUAACUGGGGCGGUUGCCUCCUAAAAUGUAACGGAGGCGCUCAAAGGUUCCCUCAGCCUGGUUGGUAAUCAGGUGGCGAGUGCAAGUGUACAAGGGAGCUUGACUGUGAGACCGACGGGUCGAGCAGGUGCGAAAGCAGGAACUAGUGAUCCGGCCAUGGCACGUGGGUGCGUGGUCGCUCAACGGAUAAAAGGUACCCCGGGGAUAACAGGCUGAUCUUGCCCAAGAGUCCAUAUCGACGGCAUGGUUUGGCACCUCGAUGUCGGCUCGUCGCAUCCUGGGGCUGGAGUCGGUCCCAAGGGUUGGGCUGUUCGCCCAUUAAAGCGGUACGCGAGCUGGGUUCAGAACGUCGUGAGACAGUUCGGUCCCUAUCCGCUGCGCGCGUUGGAAAUUUGAGAAAGGCUGUCCUUAGUACGAGAGGACCGGGACGGACGAACCUCUGGUAUGUCAGUUGUACCGCCAGGUGCAUGGCUGAUUGGCUACGUUCGGGAGGGAUAACCGCUGAAAGCAUCUAAGCGGGAAGCCUGUUUCGAGAUGAGAUUUCCUGGCACUUUUU